rnacentral:rRNA from 1 species
AAGCUUGCUUCGAUUCGGUUAGCGGGGGACGGGUGAGUAACACGGGGGGAACCUGCCCUGUGGGCGGGGAUGACACCGAGAAAUCGGUGCUAAUACCGGAUAACACGAAAGACCGCAUGGUCUUUCGUUGAAAGGCGGCGCAAGCUGUCGCUACAGGAUGGGCCCGCGGCGCAUUAGCUAGUUGGUGAGGUAACGGCUCACCAAGGCGACGAUGCGUAGCCGACCUGAGAGGGUGAUCGGCCACACUGGGACUGAGACACGGCCCAGACUCCUACGGGAGGCAGCAGUAGGGAAUCUUCCGCAAUGGACGAAAGUCUGACGGAGCAACGCCGCGUGAGCGAAGAAGGUCUUCGGAUUGUAAAGCUCUGUUGUUAGGGAAGAACAAGUACCGCAGUAACUGGCGGUACCUUGACGGUACCUAACGAGAAAGCCACGGCUAACUACGUGCCAGCAGCCGCGGUAAUACGUAGGUGGCAAGCGUUGUCCGGAAUUAUUGGGC